rnacentral:rRNA from 1 species
GAUGAACGCUGGCGGCGUGCCUAAUACAUGCAAGUCGAGCGAACAGAUGAGGAGCUUGCUCCUCUGACGUUAGCGGCGGACGGGUGAGUAACACGUGGUUAACCUACCUAUAAGACUGGGAUAACUUCGGGAAACCGGAGCUAAUACCGGAUAAUAUAUUGAACCGCAUGGUUCAAUAGUGAAAGACGGUUUUGCUGUCACUUAUAGAUGGAUCCGCGCCGCAUUAGCUAGUUGGUAAGGUAACGGCUUACCAAGGCGACGAUGCGUAGCCGACCUGAGAGGGUGAUCGGCCACACUGGAACUGAGACACGGUCCAGACUCCUACGGGAGGCAGCAGUAGGGAAUCUUCCGCAAUGGGCGAAAGCCUGACGGAGCAACGCCGCGUGAGUGAUGAAGGUCUUCGGAUCUUAAAACUCUGUUAUUAGGGAAGAACAAAUGUGUAAGUAACUAUGCACGUCUUGACGGUACCUAAUCAGAAAGCCACGGCUAACUACGUG